rnacentral:RNase_P_RNA from 1 species
CCAGGAGGCCGGGCAGCCGCGUCGAAGCGCAAGUUUCGCCGAGGAAAGUCCGGGCUCCACGAAACAAGGGUGGCGGGUAACGCCCGCCGGGCAAGGGGCUUCGGCCCCAAGUCCAGGGAAAGUGCCACAGAGAGUAUACCGCCGAUGGCCUCUAAAGGGCACAGGCAAGGGUGAAAGGGUGCGGCAAGAGCGCACCGGGCGACCGGUAACGGAAGCCGCAUGGCAAACCCCACCCGGAGCAAGACCGCAUAGGGGUCUCGAGCCGCAAGGCAGGGGAGUUUCGCCCCGAGAGACCCGGGUUGGUUGCUAGAGUGGCGGAGCAAUCCGUCGCCGAGAUGAAUGGCUGCCACCGCGUGGCCGGUCCCUUCGGGGAUACCGCGCGCGGGACAGAACCCGGCUUACAGGCCUCCUGGCGUU